rnacentral:lncRNA from 1 species
AUCUGUGUGAAAGGACCAAAUGUGUUCAAAGGCUACUUAAAAGACGAGGACAGGACAAAGGAGGCCCUGGACAGUGACGGCUGGCUUCACACGGGAGACAUUGGAAAAUGGCUGCCGGAGGGAACGCUUAAAAUCAUCGAUCGGAAAAAGCACAUAUUUAAACUUGCUCAGGGGGAAUACGUUGCGCCCGAGAAGAUUGAGAACAUCUACAUCCGAAGUGAGCCUGUGGCGCAAAUCUACGUCCAUGGGGACAGCUUAAAGGUGAGCACCACUGCUCCAGCGCUCCCGCGCAGACUGGCCUGCCAGAACGUCCAGAUUGCAUUUUGAUUUCUAGUCAAGCACUAGGAUUCACCCAUACAUUUCUAAUCAAGAGGAAAAAUUCCUUUUCAAAAGAGAAAUUUUGGGGCUUGGGAAUCUAGUUCACUGAGCAGAUCACUUGCCUGGCGGACAGGAAGUCCUGCUUUCUGCUCCCAGCACCACUUAAAACCAGGAUGGGUGAUGCAUGCAGAGGCAAAAGGAUCGUGAGUUUGAGGGCAGCCUCAGUCUCAAAGCGAAAACGCAGAAGAAAUCUUAAUUACUUAGGAUUUGGUUAAUUGCAGUUAGGGCAAGUGAGUUCCUUGAAGGCAUAGAAAUAGAUACCUCCACUAACUUUUAAUGUAUGCCCACUAACUUCCAAGGAGGGGUUUCUUGAAAUAAGAUAUUAAAUAAAAAUUCAGUAAUUU